UCAUAAACCUUAUUGCAGUGGAAAGCCCACAGCGUUGCGAGGACUUGUAACGGAAAGAAGGACUGGAU
rnacentral:sRNA from 1 species